rnacentral:rRNA from 1 species
CCUACGGGUGGCAGCAGUGGGGAAUAUUGCGCAAUGGGCGAAAGCCUGACGCAGCGACGCCGCGUGAGGGAUGAAGGUCUUCUGAUCGUAAACCUCUGUCAGCAGGGAAGAACGGUCACUGUGCUAAUCAGCAGUGCAUUUACGGUACCUGCAAAGGAAGCACCGGCUAACUCCGUGCCAGCAGCCGCGGUAAUACGGAGGGGGCGAGCGUUAAUCGGAAUUACUGGGCGUAAAGCGCUCGUAGGCGGUAUGUCAAGUCAAGGGUGAAAUCCCCGAGCUCAACGUGGGAACUGCCCUUGAAACUGGCAAACUGGAGUGUGUGAGAGGAUAGUGGAAUUCCAGGUGUAGGAGUGAAAUCCGUAGAUAUCUGGAGGAACAUCAGUGGCGAAGGCGACUAUCUGGCACAUAACUGACGCUGAGGAGCGAAAGCGUGGGUAGCAAACAGGAUUAGAUACCCGAGUAGUC